AUUUGAAGACCUCAAAGUGAGCUAAUUUGCUAGGCAAACAAUUCAAGUGUUUUGUGGUGAAAAUCCUCGUGAGUGCUGGAAAGUGAACAAGAGGUUUGUGUGAUACAAAUAAAGGAUCGUUUUUGGGAAAGGAUGCACGUGAAAGAAAUUGAGCCCUGGCCCUAUCUGCUGGGAUGAGCCCAGGUCAGUCCACCGAUGCAACGGUCCACUGGGAUUUUCCAAGUAUGCCUGGAGGCUACUACACC